rnacentral:rRNA from 1 species
UACGUAGGGUGCGAGCGUUAAUCGGAAUUACUGGGCGUAAAGCGUGCGCAGGCGGUUCGUUAUGUCCGAUGUGAAAGCCCCGAGCUUAACUUGGGAAUGGCAUUGGAAACUGGCGGGCUGGAGUGCGGCAGAGGGGGGUGGAAUUCCUGGUGUAGCGGUGAAAUGCGCAGAUAUCAGGAGGAACACCGGUGGCGAAGGCGGGUCUCUGGGCCGAUACUGACGCUGAGGAGCGAAAGCGUGGGGAGCGAACAGG